AAAAAAUCCGCUUAAAAAAAAAAAAAAACCUUUCUCUCUCUCUCUCAAAAUGGCCAUAUUUGAGAAAAAAAAUGUAGUAGUUUGAAUCACUGGAUAUAGCUGUCGAUCAUUUAAUAUUCAUAUUGUAAAAUGUUAAAAGUUAAUAUUAACUAAAAUUAAAUGAUUUGCGCGCAGCGGUCGCGCGCGCAUCUGUAGACUAGCGCAAGUUAAUUCUCACAUUAUAAUAGUGUUUAAUAGCUCCUAACAGGCUGUGUGACUAUGAGAAGUUAUUACCUCAAAAUGUACGUCAGUAUGCAGUUUUCCGCUCGCGUGCCGAGACAGGGGUAGCUGCAGCCUGGAGCAAUGGGCGUGCCGAGAGGUCUCUCAUUGGUGAAAGGAGUUUUACUGUUUUGGCCAAUCAGCGGUAAAUACACAUUUACGUAAUUUCCUUUAGACAAGAGAAGGUAGCGGCGAUAAGACGUGGUGUAAUUAUUCAUCAUACGUUUAUCUAUACUUUAUAUACCACAAAUAUGAAUAUUAAGAUAGCUUGUUACAAUACGAUCAUAAUUUUUCCUUUGCGUUAUAUCUGGCAGCUUUAGUAAUUAGUUUAUUGUUGUUGACAGACAUACUGUAUGUACAGUGAGACAAAACGAUGAGCGCAUCUGCAUCGAAGCUCUCAGAGCUGAUAGUUUAUAUCUGCGUCCUUUUUGUGCAAUACAGUACAGAAUACAUCCUGUGUCCAACUAAUGCAGAAUAUAUUCAAGUAUCCAACUCACUGAUUGUGAAGAACCCUUUCCAGAGAAAUAUAAAGGAAAUGACUGUAAGUUGCAUUGUUUUUAAUUCAUUGAUUUAUCUCUAUCAACAUAAUCAUACACGAUAUUGUAGUAACAAUAUAUUGUAAUCUUUAUUUGCUGGAAAAUGACAAUCAAUCAAAUUUGUGUUUUUAGCACACCUGACACAUCCCUAAACCGGUAAUUUAAAGCAGAACGUGCACCACUUGCAGGUUAUUGUAGCACAUGUAAGAUCACUGCCAUAUGCAUAAUUUAUUUUUGCACUGUUAAUCAAUUUUACAUUUUCACUUCAAUGUAAGGAAGAUACUGUACUACAGAUAUUUAAAUCUUUUUUUGUACAUACUCCACUUUUUCACUGCCUGACCAUCAUCUUAAUGUUUAUGCAGUUCAAUGUUUUUAUUAUUUUUUAUAUCUAAAGCACCUUGUUCAAUAAGUAUUUAGAUGUUUCUCAUAUCUGUCAGGGUCUAAGCAUGAUCUGUUUCUGUUGUUCUGAUGAAGGAAACUUGUGUUGGGGAGGAUUCAGU
ensembl:lncRNA